AUGCUAGCUAAGGACCCUACAUUAAUCAGGUCAUUGAAUCCGUUCCACUUAUUUGAUCAAUACAAAAUUAUGCUUGGAGGAGUUCCAGCUACCGGUGGAACGGAUCAAACCAUCUUAAUGGCAAUGGCUCUUAAAGAGCUAGGAAUUAUGGAUAAUCGUGAAUCAACUAUAUAUAGGGCAUCCAAUGUCUCUACCAUAAGCAGGAAUGACCAGCAGGCCAUUGUUUCUGCAUUGGCGAAUGGUUUUCCGCUGCACGCAACUAUUCUUCAGGGUACCAAACUGACUUUCCUAAGGUACUGUACUUCGUACGAACCCCCUGAUUUCUUUCAGGCUCUGAAAGUAAGAGCUCCUGAAGAUAUACCAUGUCAUGCUAUUGUGCUAGUAGGGGCUGUCAAGAAAAAGGGCAAGCUCUCUUACUAUUUCUUGAAUGCCUGGAAGCGGUUCUGUGCUCGUAGGAGUGAGGAUGGCACGUUAUUGGCCUAUGGAAUAGGAAAGGUAAAUGCUAAUAGGUUAUAUAGGAAUGUCAUCAAGGUAUCUUGCUUCAAGGAAGCUCCAAAUGAGAGGAGUUUCACGCAAAACAUGAAACUGAACACAGCAUUGCUUGUUGGGGACCUGCCUAAGAGGGAACCUACCUUCAGGUGA
rnacentral:rRNA from 1 species